AAAAAGAUAGCUCAGUCAGUAGAGCAUUAAGCUUUUAACCUAAGGGCCCAGGGUUCAAAUCCCUAUUUGGGCG